rnacentral:tRNA from 1 species
GCGGAGGUGGCGGAACUGGCAUACGCGCGGGUCUCAGAAGCCCGUGGCCGAAAGGUCGUGAGGGUUCAACUCCCUCCCUCCGCACCA